rnacentral:tRNA from 1 species
AGGGACGACCGGCCGGGCGCGGUUCGUGUCCGCUCGCCGGACCCGUUAUGAUGGCUAGGUGCAUCCGCGCUUUCCGGCCGGAUGCCUGGAGACGUCGCAUAGUCCGGCCGAGUGCACCACCCUGCUAAGGUGGAGUCCCCUCACGGGGACCAGGGGUUCAAAUCCCCUCGUCUCCGC